rnacentral:rRNA from 1 species
AUUGAACGCUGGCGGCAUGCCUUACACAUGCAAGUCGAACGGCAGCACGGGAGCAAUCCUGGUGGCGAGUGGCGAACGGGUGAGUAAUGUAUCGGAACGUGCCCAGUCGUGGGGGAUAACGUAGCGAAAGCUACGCUAAUACCGCAUACGAUCUGUGGAUGAAAGCGGGGGACCGUAAGGCCUCGCGCGAUUGGAGCGGCCGAUAUCAGAUUAGGUAGUUGGUGGGGUAAAGGCCUACCAAGCCGACGAUCUGUAGCUGGUCUGAGAGGACGACCAGCCACACUGGGACUGAGACACGGCCCAGACUCCUACGGGAGGCAGCAGUGGGGAAUUUUGGACAAUGGGCGCAAGCCUGAUCCAGCAAUGCCGCGUGCAGGAUGAAGGCCUUCGGGUUGUAAACUGCUUUUGUACAGAGCGAAAAGGCUCUCUCUAAUACAGGGGGCUCAUGACGGUGCCGUAAGAAUAAGCACCGGCUAACUACGUGCCAGCCGCCGCGGUAA